GAUGAACGCUAGCGACAGGCCUAACACAUGCAAGUCGAGGGGCAGCACGAGGUAGCAAUACUAGGGUGGCGACCGGCGGACGGGUGAGUAACACGUAUGCAACCUGCCCGUAAUCGGGGGAUAACCCGGAGAAAUUCGGACUAACACUCCAUGUAUCUGUAUUAUUGCAUGAUAAAACAGAAAACGCAAGGAUUACGGAUGGGCAUGCGGAUGAUUAGCUGGUUGGCGGGGUAACGGCCCACCAAGGCGACGAUCAUUAGGGGUUCUGAGAGGAAGGUCCCCCACAUUGGAACUGAGAAACGGUCCAAACUCCUACGGGAGGCAGCAGUGAGGAAUAUUGGUCAAUGGGCGAGAGCCUGAACCAGCCAAGUCGCGUGAGUGAGGAAGGUUUUCGGACUGUAAAGCUCUGUCGAGCGGGAAGAAGUGUACCAUGGCUAAUAUCCAUGAUAUUUGACGGUACCGCUAGAGGAAGCACCGGCUAACUCCGUG
rnacentral:rRNA from 1 species